rnacentral:rRNA from 1 species
CCUACGGGGGGCAGCAGUGAGGAAUAUUGGUCAAUGGGCGCGAGCCUGAACCAGCCAAGUCGCGUGAGGGAAGACGGUCCUAUGGAUUGUAAACCUCUUUUGUCGGGGAGCAAAAGACGCCACGCGUGGAGUUCCGAGAGUACCCGAAGAAAAAGCAUCGGCUAACUCCGUGCCAGCAGCCGCGGUAAUACGGAGGAUGCGAGCGUUAUCCGGAUUUAUUGGGUUUAAAGGGUGCGCAGGCGGUAUAUAAAGUCAGCGGUAAAAUUGAGAGGCUCAACCUCUUCGUGCCGUUGAAACUGGUUGUCUUGAGUGAGCGAGAAGUAUGCGGAAUGCGUGGUGUAGCGGUGAAAUGCAUAGAUAUCACGCAGAACUCCGAUUGCGAAGGCAGCAUACCGGCGCUCAACUGACGCUCAUGCACGAAAGUGUGGGUAUCGAACAGGAUUAGAUACCCGGGUAGUC